rnacentral:tRNA from 1 species
GGGAAUAUAGUUUAACUCGUAGGUAAAGCAACUACCUUUUAAGUAGUGAUAUAGGUUCGAAUCCUGUUAUUCCCU